ACAACAUGGGCUGAGACGUCGGCAACCAUGGACAAAAAUGACACACGUCAUCUCGCGCUCUCUCUCUCUCUCUCUCUCUCUCUCUCUCUCUCUCUCUCUCUCUCUCUCUCGUAAUGCUGAAGACACACACCAGCACCUGAUGCUGUGCAUUUGAGUUACACUCACAGCCUCAGUCUGUCUGUCUUUUUUUUUUUUUUGAUAGUGUCUCCCUAUGUAUCCUUCGCUAGUCUGGCCAGGACCUUGCUAUGCAGAGAUCCACCUGCCCCUGCCUCCUGAGUGCUGUACCUGGUUCCUUCUUUUUAAGUUGACGGUCUCAAGCAUUUUGCCACAGCAAACACAGCACAACAGAAAGCUGGCUGAGAACCUAGCUGUUCUCCACAGAGCUAGGCAACAGCCAAGCUGGGCUUCGAAUCCAGGCAGGUAGUUCUCAGAGUGUAGCCUCUCCCCUGCCAUGCUGGACCACCUUCUGAAAACAAGGCCACCUCUCUGUUCCCAGGCCACACGUCAAUGGGGUAACUUCAUCUUCAGAAAACUGGCACAUGGAUGAGUUGGCCCAGAUUCAUUAGUGUUGGUACUCAAACCCUCAUGGACCUGACUCCAGUAUCCAACACCUAAGCACUGUCCUUUCUCAGCCGGUGCUGUCUCUAAGUACUUCACUUGCUGGAAUCCACAGAAACAAUGAGAUCAAAGGGUCUUUUUUGGAACUGCAGCUCAUUGAUUCAGCAAGGCUGGCUGACCAGCAAGUCUCAGGCAUCCUCCUGUCUCUGCUUCCCCAGCUCUGUGAGUACAGGCACACCGUGGUGCCAGGCUUUUUAUUUGGCAUUAGGGAUAAACCUCAGCUCCUCUGCUUGUAAAACAAGCACUGCCAGCCACAGGCUGAGAGACAAGUUUCUGCAGUCUCAGGCCCCAGUCUAUGGAUUCUGCCGUGACAGCCUGAGCUGACUAAUGCACAUAGAGAGCUUGAGUAGAAGCGAAGCUCCCAGGCUUGGCCAGGUGAGCCGAGGCUGCCCGCCUCCUUACCGGGGGGUUGCCAAACAAAUAAACAGAAGAGUGGUUAGUAAAUCAGAAUUUCAGAUAAAUAACAAGUAAUUUUUA